rnacentral:tRNA from 2 species
GUUUUCAUAGUUUAAAUUAAAACAUUACACUGAAAAUGUAAAAAUACUUUUUGAAAAUA